rnacentral:rRNA from 1 species
AUUGAACGCUGGCGGCAUGCCUUACACAUGCAAGUCGAACGGUAACGGGCCUUCGGGUGCCGACGAGUGGCGAACGGGAGAGUAAUGCAUCGGAACGUACCUUUCAGUGGGGGAUAACGUAGCGAAAGUUACGCUAAUACCGCAUAUUCUGUGCGCAGGAAAGCAGGGGAUCGCACGACCUUGCGCUGAUUGAGCGGCCGAUGUCGGAUUAGCUAGUUGGAGAGGUAAAGGCUCACCAAGGCGACGAUCUUUAGCGGGUCGGAGAGGAUGAUCCGCCACACUGGAACUGAGACACGGUGCAGACUCCUACGGGAGGCAGCAGUGGGGAAUUUUGGACAAUGGGGGCAACCCUGAUCCAGCCAUGCCGCGUGAGUGAAGAAGGCCUUCGGGUUGUAAAGCUCUUUCGGCCGGGAAGAAAUCGCAUGGGUUAAUACCCUGUGCGGAUGACGGUACCGGCAUAAGAAGCACCGGCUAACUACGUGCCAGCAGCCGCAGUAA